rnacentral:rRNA from 1 species
CCUANGGGUGGCAGCAGUGGGGAAUAUUGCGCAAUGGGCGAAAGCCUGACGCAGCGACGCCGCGUGGGGGAUGAAGGCCUUCGGGUUGUAAACUCCUGUUAAGCGGGAAGAAAAACCUAUUAAUAAUAAGAAUAGGGUAUGACGGUACCGCUAAAGAAAGCACUGGCUAAUCUCGUGCCAGCAGCCGCGGUAAUACGAGAGGUGCAAGCGUUAUUCGGAAUUACUGGGUGUAAAGGGUGCGUAGGUGGCUUAUUAAGUCAGCUGUUAAAUAUCUCGGCCUAACCGAGAAAAGGCGGUUGAUACUGGUAUGCUAGAGGGUGGAAGAGAGAAGUGGAAUUCUCGGAGUAGCGGUAAAAUGCGUAGAUCUCGAGAGGAACACCGAUGGCGAAGGCAGCUUCUUGGUCCAUACCUGACACUGAGGCACGAAAGCGUGGGGAGCAAACAGGAUUAGAUACCCCGNUANUC